UAUGCCAAGGUUUCAAGCAGAGAAUUUGGAGCACAACAAGAACUUGUACGAGCAGGUCAAUGCCAUUGCUUCAAGGAAGGGUUGUACUCCAUCACAGCUAGCAUUGGCCUGGGUCCAUCACCAAGGCAAUGAUGUUUGCCCCAUACCUGGCACUACCAAGAUUGAGAACCUCAAUCAUAAUAUAGGAGCUUUGUCUGUAAAACUGUCAGCAGAGGAAAUGGCGGAACUUGAAUCUAUUGCUUCUGCAGGAGUCAAGGGUGAUAGGUAUGGGCCUGGCAUUAGUACUUGGCAAACUUCUGAAACUCCACCUUUGUCAACCUGGAAGAGGACAUGAAGACAUAGCUUUGUUGUGGCAAUAAUUCCUUCUAGCUAUGUGCCUGAUGGUGGAUUUCACUAUAUUAAGAGUUGAAUGAUAUGUAUUUGUUCCAAUAAAUUUCAUCAUACUAUUGUCUCUAGGGUUAAGGCAAGUAAAGUUAUAAGAAGAAUGGAGUUUCUUCAGAGAAGUUGUAAUGAAUGAAGAUAUGGUCAUGUAAAAAAAGCAGAACAUAAUUUUCCUUGCAAUUGAAUGCGUUAAAUAUUAUCUAUUCUACUUCUGAAUGUUACUAGUAAUAAUUCACGUGAUUUGCACGCAAUUGUAACAUCUUGAAAUGUAUUAUUCUGUAGGUAUUAAAAGUUUUUAUGAAAUUUUGAUCAUCAACAUCAUAAUAUAGUAUUUUUAUGUUAUUUUUUUUAGCUAGUUAUUUUUAAAAAUUUUGUUAAAUGAAAAGAGACGGAAAACAUUCUAACAUAGUUUUCAUGUCCCUUAGGAUUCAAUUUGGAAUCAUGGUGCAAACACUUUUUGCGUUUUAGCUUGAAUUCUAACAUAUCAAAUAUUGAUAAUAUCAUGUUUUAUCAAAAUGAUUGUAUAUUCAUGAUUCUAUUGCAAAUUAUGAGUUAUAUUCUUAUGAGAUGAAAUGAUGUUAUGGACAAGUUACAUGAUUUACCAAGUUUCUCUGUGAACAUGUUCAUAUUAUGUUAUAUGUUUUAUGCCACUCAAUUUUCAAUGACAUCUGUAUAUGUAUUUAUGAAGCAAUGUCAAUAUUUUCAAACUGAGAUAUCCAUGCAAUUUUGUGUGAUCAAGUAUAUAACUACAUGAACCUGCAGGAGAGGUGUGAUGCUUACUCAGCAUACAUUGCUCAAUUCAUGUGUCCUUCAAGAAAGGAAAAUCGUUUACUUCUUAGGAAUUAAGAGUAAGAUAAAUAGACUGAUGAUCAAGUUCUAGAGAUUAUAGAAUAAGAUGUUUAACAGGUGCACAAAUAGAUUAGUAAUAAAGCUCCACGGAUUAUAGAAUAAGGUGUUUAACCGGUAUAUUAAAUUAAUAGUACGUGGUUUGUUUGAAUAGUGUUUUAUUUGACAAAUUUUAUUUAUUUGUAUUGUCAGCACAUUUUUCAACCACCUUCUCAUUUCAUAUAUAUCAUAUCAUCUAAAAAGUGUUAUAAUAUAUAUAUUUUUUACAAAAUUAUCUCAAAUAAUCUACUACUCCCUUCGUCCCAUUUUGAUAGUCAUGUAUUCCUUUUUCAUCUGUCCCAAAUUGUAGUCCACUUUCCAAUUGAACAAUAUAGUUGUAUUUUAAUUUUUCUAAAAUACCCUUAUUUAAUGUAAGUAGUUAUUACUAUAAACCUACCCCAUUUAAUGAGAAUUGAUUCUUUUUUUUACCAUCAAUUCAAGUUCCCAUAAAAUUGUACCAUAUUUAAUGUGAGGGUAUUUUAGGAAAAUAACAAUCUAAAUUUACUUUUUUAAUAAAGUUAAUUAUUUUUUCUUAAACUGUGCGAGAAAAGAAACAAGAUUAUCAAAAUGGGACGGACGGAGUAUUUAAACACGCUAGCGGUUUCGCAUGACGUUACAGACCCGGCCCAUGGUGGACUUUGGAUCUAUGGUUUCCGGAUUUGAGGCGUGACAGGAAUUGUCCAUAUGCUUAUAGAUCCAAAAGAUUAGCUCAAUCGAUGCACUGCCAGAAUCCUCCGUUGCAGGCUUCAGUAAUGUAUACGUGCACAUGGGCCUGCAUUAAUGGUCAACUGAAUUCCAACUCAAUACAUAAAAUGUCCAUUUAGUGGGCAAAUUUUUGUCUUCCUUUCAGGUAACAAGUGCACAAUUCAAUGCAAAUGUCAACUGAAUUUGAUACAAACUUACCGUUUAAUCACUAAUGUAAAUGCCAACGGAAUCUACAAGCCUACAAUUUAAAAUUAGUGUACCUCAAAAUCACAGCCAGCGAAUAUCACAUCGAUAUCAUUGAAACAACUACUGUGGAAAAAUCGCCCGUCCCGAGGAAUUUGAUAAUAAUUAUUGUACUUCCCUCGCCUAAUUUGGUAAAUUUGAUUUUUUUUUUCAUGCAGUUUAAAAAAAUUAAUUAAUCUUAUUUUUUUUUUCCCAAACGAAUUAAUCUUAUUGAAAGAGUAAAAAUCUAACUUAAUACUCCCUCCGUCCCACUUUGAUAGUCUUGUUUUCCUCUUUCGUCUGUCCCAAAUUGUAGUCCACUUUUUUCAUUAAGAAAUGUAGUAAUCUUUCAAAUUGUCUAAAAUACCCUUAUUAAAUAUCUUGUUAUUAAUACAUUGUUAUUAAAUACUAACCCACUAUAUUGAAUACAUUGAGCUUUUCCAAUACAUAGAUAACUGAUAUUUAUUGGCACCAUUAGCUGUAACUGAUAUUAAUUGGCACUUUGUGAUUAGCAUAAGGGUAUUUUAGGAAAUUAUUAAUCUAAAUUUAUGUUUUCAACCAAAUUAAUUACACUUUCUUAAUCUAUGUGAAAAAAAAAUUAAGACUAACAAAACGAGACGGAGGGAGUAUGUUUCUAAAAUAUCUUUACAUUAAAUGGAGCAUGACUAUUAGUUUUCUUUUUUUUUAAUCAGUUUGACAGACCAAAUUGACACCUAUAUAUAUAUAUAUAUAUAUAUAUAUAUAUAUAUAUCUAUUUUGUCAGACCAAUAUGAGAGUUUUUCAAUUUGAGGAACCAAUAAAAUUGUUAAAAAACUUGUAACAAAUAAACUUGACAAAAAACUUGCGUACCAAACAAGGCCUAAGAUGAUUUGCUACUUAGGAGAACCGCAUCGAAAUUUCCGAGUUGCUUAGUAGAAGUUUUUUUUUCUUAACAAUGAAUUUUGACAGAUUUAAUCAUGGCCAUUAAUUAAUCCUUCCCUAAUGCCACCAGAGCAGCCGGCCAUACUUCAUCCAUAAAAAGCCAUAUUCCUAAAGCACUAUUCACUUGCUAAAAAAAGUCAAUUCUGCUCCGUUCUACUGUUUAAACUUCCACUGUGUCUGUGUCUUUUGUCUGAAAAUGGCAGCGGCGGCAGCAGCAGCAGCAGCAGCAGCAGCAGUAGCAGAAGUGAAGGUGCCAAGAAUCAAGCUGGGCUCACAAGGUUGUGAAGUUUCAGCUCAAGGGCUGGGCUGCAUGGGCAUGUCAGCCUUCUACGGCCCGCCCAAGCCCGAGCCCGACAUGAUCAAGCUCAUCCACCAUGCUAUUAGCAGAGGUAUCACUCAUCUGGACACCUCCGAUGUCUAUGGACCUCACACUAACGAAAUACUCAUUGGAAAGGUACUAUAUUUGCCUUUUUAAAUUACUCUUGCUUAAGAGAAGUAGAUUUGUGACUUUAUAUUUAAGGUGAAUCACACUUAAGCCCAUGAAUAUAUAUGCUUCUCACUUAGCCCCCUCAAGUUUAUUUGUAUGUCCUUGAUAAUUAAUGGCAUGAAAGCGUGGUUUUAGGCUUUGAAGGAAGGAAUGAGAGAUAAUUAAUGGCAUGAAAGCGUGGUUUUAGGCUUUGAAGGAAGGAAUGAGAGCGAAAGUGGAGCUAGCAACGAAAUUUGCAGUCUCUUACGAGGAUGGAAAGUUUGACAUAUGCGGUGAUCCAGCCUAUGUGAGAGCUGCGUGUGAAGCCAGCUUGAAGCGGCUUGAUGUGGACUGCAUUGAUCUCUAUUAUCAACAUCGCAUCGAUACACGCGUGCCCAUUGAAGUCACGGUUUGCUCCAUUUUGACAAUUUGAUGUUCUUUGACAACUUUGACAAAGUACACAUCCAACUGAAAUCAGCACAUAUAUUGAUAAUAGAGAAAGUUCAUUUUGAUGUUCUUAACAAUUUCUUCACCAUUAUGGGCUACUGUACAUACUAAUCUUCAUCUCAGUAAAGCUGAUUUAGCACCAGGCAUCUCAAAAAGUAAAAAGAACCAACAUCAUCUCAAAAAGUAAAAAGAACCAACAUAUUUGUCUUGUAUAUGUGCACAGGUAUUUUAGCUUGCCAGCCCUGCUGAGGGAGGUACAGGUGGAUAUGAUGCCAUACAUUGUACGUAUUUCCUUUAGAACUAGAAGACCUGUGCAUUCCUUUCAUUUGAAAUAGACCACUCAGUUGAGUAUUAUUAUUUAGAAACAGUCAACAAUGUCAUUAUUGAUGUUACAGGAGCAUUGUGUUCGCAUGGUCCAAUAGAGCCAAGUCAACUGGUGGGAUUAAUAACAAUAUCAUCUUGAGAAGUUCAAUUGGCUGCGUAUUGCACUUUUUCCAAGUGAUGAUUUCAGUUGGAUGUAUACUUUGUCAAAGUUGUUCGCUGCACUGAAUUAGUGUUACUUUUACUCUAUGCUUGUAUAAUUUCAACUGUCUGCCUUAGUAUGGAAAAAGAUAAACCAGCUUAGCAUUUUCUUGUUUGUCGUUGUAUUCUCAAUUUUUCUAGAUUGGAGAACUUAAAAAACUGGUUGAAGAGGGUAAAAUAAAGUAUAUAGGUCUAUCCGAGGCCUCUGCUUCAACAAUUAGAAGAGCACAUGCUGUUCAUCCAAUAACAGCUAUACAGUUGGAGUGGUCAUUGUGGAGCAGAGAUGUCGAGGAAGAGAUCAUUCCCACUUGCAGGUAGUGCAUUUAUUCUUCUUCAUGUUCUACAUGGUCUAGAAGGAAACAUGUUCUGAAUUCACUUUUGGUGUAAUCUUUUAGAGAGCUUGGCAUAGGGAUUGUUGCAUACAGUCCACUCGGACAAGGAUUCUUCUCUUCAGGUCCAAAGCUGAUUGAGAAUUUGACUGAAGGUGACUUCCGAAAGGUUUGUGCAUAUCCAAAAAGAUAAGUAGUUUUUGGUGAAGUAUGUGUACAGUUGGUAUAUGCGAGUUUCUUAGUCGUCAACUUUUACCACAUUCAGUCGCAGUCAUUGCUCAAUAUCCCUAUUCUUUUCUAUCUGUUAUAUGUUGCUGCAUUUUUUGAUACCCAAGCCUGAGCUUUUUCUAAAAUGAUCAAAUUUAAUGAAUUUUUUGGUCAACUGUGACGCAACAAGGUUUUCUAUCUGACAAGUCUUGUAGUCUUGAAUUCCAAUAAAUGCAAUUUUUGGUAUUGGUAUAAACUGAACCUUUUGUACAUACAGGAUAGGAAUUGUGUGCUUUCUAUAUAUUUUGAAUUUUUUUAAAAGAAAAAGAUGGCACUAGCAUUGUCAAACUUUUAGAUAUUUUCUUGAAAGAAGGUUUUCCUUGCAUGCUGGAAAAUUAUAAAAGGACAGAGCAAUGGGUAAUGUUCUAUUUUGCAGUGCGCGAACGUCCUGGACAUGAAAACAGGAAGAAACUAUGGCAUCUUUAAGGAAACGGUUAUUUACAAUAUUGAGGGAAAGUGGACCUUAGGUUUCAAGCUCGUUGUUUGGUCUCGAGCUGUUGUUUUUCCUUUUUGGUUAAUCCUUUAACCUAGUUUCAUUGGUCAUUAGUUCACUUCCUAGUAGUAGUGCCAUCUCCAUCGUUCAAAAAUAUAGUUGAUUUCUAGUUUGACCUUCCUCUUUUAUGGAAUUGCAUCUCAGAAUCUACCUUCUACAAUUGAUGUCUCCCACCUGGAGUACUCUGUCCGGCCACCUUACUGCAUUGUUCAUUCCGCCGCACUUGUACACUUCAAACAAUAUUUCCAAUUAUUCUGAUAUAAUUUUAAGGAUUAAUCUUUGUUAUACUGACAGUGUAUGCAUCAUUAGCGUUGGAUGAACGACAAUCAUGCAAAAUUUAAAAUUGAAAUUCAACUUAAGCAUAUAUGUCAUGAAUUCAAUGAUGAUAGUGCAUACACUAUUAGUGUAUAUAAAAUUUACUCUAAUUUACUCUAAUUUUAAUUGUCUGUGUGGGCUGCUCCUUUUGUGCGCUUUAACCCCUCCAGAUUCUGGUUUUACAGUUGCUUAACAUUGAAAUUCACACAAUGCAGUAUUUGCCAAGGUUUCAAGCAGAGAAUUUGGAGCACAACAAGAAGUUGUAUGAGCGUGUCAAUGCCAUUGCUUCAAGGAAGGGUUGUACUCCAUCACAGCUAGCAUUGGCCUGGGUCCAUCACCAAGGCAAUGAUGUUUGCCCCAUACCCGGCACUACCAAGAUUCAGAACCUCAAUCAGAAUAUAGGAGCUUUAUCCGUAAAACUGUCCGCAGAGGAUAAGGCGGAACUCGAAUCUAUUGCUUCGGCUGGAGUCAAGGGUGAGAGAUGCGGGCCUGAAAUUAGCACUUGGCAAAAUUCUGAAACUCCACCUUUGUCAACCUGGAAGUGCACAUGAAGAUGUAACCAUAUUAUGGUAAAAAUAAUUCCUUUCAGCUAUCUGCCUGAUGGUGGAUUUUACUGUGUUGAAGGUUAAGUUGCAUUUAUUCCAACAGCCUGUAAUCUUCGUCGUACUAUUUUCUCGACUGUUGACGUUGUAAUGAGAAAAGAUUUGUAUCAUAUAAGAUGACUGCUUGGUCUUUUACGUAGAAGAAAAGGCAAAACACAAUUUUCCAUGUAGUUGAAUCCAUUUUUUUGAGCAACUUUUAACUUCCUAUUGAUCAAGCAUGAAAGAGUAUAGUAUCUCACAAAACUAAAUUAAAGAAAGUCAUCAGCUAAACCAUAUCCAUCAGCUAAAACAACUAUGUGGCAGCCAAAGUUCCAUAGCUAGCUCCCAAUUAUCGUCCUUGGACAGUGGAACCUUACUCCAACCUGCUACUACAUCUCAGACAGCAGAGAGAGUUGAAUGCACAAUAGCUACAGUAGUCAUAGAGGUUUGGCAAAAUGAAGCUUGGUUCCCAGCGCUCCAUAGGUGAUAAAUUUUGCCGCACUAAAAUCCAGCCUCUUCACAGCAGAUUUUACUGAAAAUUUUGGACAAAUUACACUUUAUCCCCCUGUCGUUUUGUAUUUUUCUACAUAACCCCCCUAUGAUUUUAAAAGUUAUACAUAAUCCUCUCACAAUUUGGAUUAAAGUGUCAAAGUAGCGAAAAUAAUCAUUCAUAACAGAGUCACCUAAAAUGUCAAAACUACCUUUAUGCAAAGUUAAAAAUUAUUUAUUAACCAAGGGAGAUUAUGUGUACAUUUUGAAAAUCAUAAGGGGAUUAUAUGGUAAAACAUUAAACUAUAAUAGGGUUAUAUGCUAAAACAUAAAUCAUACGGAGUUAAUGUAUCAUGUAUUUAUAAGAGUAAUUUCGACAUUUUUUAAAGAUUAUGUUACGAAUGAUCAUUUCCGUCACUUUGACACUUUAAUUCAAACCGUGAGAGGGUUAUGUAUAGCUUUUGAAAUCAUAUGGAGAGUUAUGUAAAAAAAUACUAAAUUCCAGAAGGGUAAAGUGUAAUUUGCCCGAAAAUUUUCUAGUAGCAUUUCCAGUCCAAUAUGCCUCAUCUUUACGCUGGACUUGAAGCCAUAAGUGCAGGCAUUGUAUCUCUUAAUCUCUUGACUUCUUUUGUCAGCCUCCUACCCUAAGGCCAUUGACCGGUUGUUAGCCUGUACAAUAAUAAAAACCUGCUCAACUAAAGUUAAGUUUUGUAAAUAGUGGUAAGUAAGGUCGAAUCCACAGGGAUUGGGAGUAAUUGUUUCUUUCCAAAUUCACAGUAAUAAGGGGGUGUUUUUGUGCAGAUGGUGACAAUCAAAGAAAUUCAAAUAAAAUCUAAGAAACUACUAAAAAUUAAAUAACAAAUUACUAAAAUCAAAUUAAUGAUAAUUAAGGAUCUAGCCAAGGAAUAACUUCAGCCAUGGUUCACCUAAUUGAUCAUCGAUGCAAAGCCAAUUCCAAUUAUUUACCAAUAAAUAGGUUAUAACUGCCAAACAAGCGAUGACAGUCAACCCGUCCUUACUGUGUCGGUGAUUAAUGUACGCCCGUUAAUCACUGCCCUAAUUGAGAAAUAAUUCUAGGUACGCUCAUAAGAUUUAAUUCCCCAAUUGCCUUACGUAUUAGGGGAACUCUAUUCUAACCAAAUAACGCACUACCAGGCUUAUUUCAUAUUAGCUCGCAUAUCCCCCUGACACAAAUCCAAUCAUGCCAGCAGUCACUAUUUCAAGGCAAUUAAACAAUUACGAAUUUAAUACCCUAAUUGACAAUAGAUUACCAAAUUAACUAAUUAUCCGGAUCCAAAAUAAUCAAUUAAUUAAAUAAUCAUGAACACUGCAAUCAAGGGAUAUGCGAAUACCAAUAAAUAAAAGAAAAAAAUAAAAUUAAAUCGAUCUCACAAGUUUUAGGCGAAUCAAAGCCUCCGUUGUCCCUUGACUAGACAAAGAGAUUUAACUCAUCCCUUAUCUACUCCUACGGAAGAGCAACUAAAGACGAAAAGAAAAGUCAACAUCAUCCAAUUUGAUUGUGACCUCCGUAGGCAAGAACCACAAAAAGAUGAUAAAUGGAGAAAAUCAAAGUCUAGCCUACCAAAAGUCUCCACUAAAAGACGAAGAAGAUCGAAAGGUCAAAAGAAAAGCUAAUCUAUUCUAGUGCUUCCUCUCCUGUGCGGCGGCUCCCCAGGAAAAAUAGAAGCCUCUGCCGUGCUCUCUUCUUUUGAAAUUAUCAAAAUGGGCAAAAGUCUUCCCUUGCCAACGAUGCCUCUGGGAUAAACUCUGUUAUUUGGGCUCUUUUCUUGUUAAAUUGGCACUUGUUAUCAUAUUUUUGUUCUACUUCCUGAAAUAAGUGCAAAAUACUAAAAGUGGGUAGAAUCUAACAAUUACUCCACAUCGGGUCAGGUAAUAAGGGAAAUUAAUUAUAAAAUAAAUGAUAAAAUUGCAACCUAUCAGCCAUUCCCAACAAUCCCCUUAUAUGCAUUGUGCUACAAAGUCAAUUUUGAUAAGGCCAAAAUUGUGUAAGAGAUUUAUGUUACAAGUGCUUUUCUGCAAUUUGGUACUUUACCAUAUAAUUUCUAUCAGCUAUGAACUAUAUACUAAGCUGAUUCUAUGAUUCCUCAUUUGGACUCUAUAAAACAGGCCAAUAGCCUCUAAGAGUUGGUAAAAGGUCUUCAACAGAUGAAGUUGAGUAGCUAAAAAAUUUCUAAUAAUUGCAUGCCAAAACUAAUUAAUACUUCAUCUGCUUCUCCACGAUAAUAACAAGUCACCACUCCUCAAUUAUUUCGAUUUUUUCUUCGGCACUUGUAAAAAGAUUAAAAGAAAAUGAUAAAGAUGUUAAUAAUUGGUAUAACUAAUUGUAUCAGAAAAAAAUAUAUUUUUGCGAAGCAUCAUAAAUAGUAAAUGGCUGGUGCAUAUCCGAUAUGAAUUCAAGUAAAAUAUAUAUUUUGGAUCCUGGUUGAGUUGUGUGUAAUUCAGUGCUACAUCGCACAUGUGGAUGUAUCCACAGGCUGAUAUGGAAAAUAUUCGUGAUCUCUAAAAGUCAACGCUGCUUAUAUACAAUAUCCUGGACAAAUUUCUUCAGAAUAUGGGAAAUUUGUGAACGUGACAAGAUUAGAUGCCCAAUUAAUGAAGAGGGCAUGAUUUUAAAUUGUUUAUUAUAAAUGGCUUUUUCACUGCUUUUGGCACGCAAAAAAAACUGAGAUUAAAUAAAAAAUCAAUUCAAGAAUACUGCUAGUAAUCAAGAAAACUAUUACUAAUCAAGAGUACAACUAGUAAUUAUUUCAAUUCUAAAUCCGUAAGGAGAGUUGGAGGUGUCGAUCACAAGUCAAUUAUAUUGACCUGUCCAAAUCCGUCAACUAAUAAACCACCCAAACCCAUCCAUUAAAUUUUAAAUGGGUCUAAAUGAAUACCAAAUUAUAUCCAUUUAAUUGCUAGAUAGUGGGUUAACUCAACUCACCCAUUUAUACCCAUUCAGAAAUAAUUAUACAUUUAAAUUCAAUUUUUAGUAAGUGUUAAGGAGAUAAAUUUGAAAUUCCUACCAAUCUAAUAACAAUAAAAUACCAUUAUUUAAUGUUAAAUAACAUGUGAAAUUUUUUUUAAAAAAUAAGUAAAAUUUCAAAUGAAUCAUAAAUGGGUAAUUGAGCUUACCCAACUCAUUUAUUUCAAUAGAUAUAAUGGGUUGACCCAAUUAUGACUCGUCCAAAUAACCUAUUUUGACACCUCUAAGGAGAGUAUCCACCAUAGAGUAAUAUAUUCUUCGCAACGCUAGCUUCAACAUGCUAUCAAAACCCUUGGCUUUUAGAAAAUUGCUUAAGAUAUUCGGAAUAGAAUUAUACAAUAUUCUAUAAACACACACUUUCGGUUAACAUGUUAGGUUGGAAUAAACUUGUGUAAAUACUUGAAGCCUGAAAAUUAAGUUAUCAAAUAAUCUUGUUCAAGUAAAGCUUGAUUUCUUUUGACCUCAAAAGGAUGGAUAACUCCAACGCCAAAGAUAUUGCAAAUCAUUCCACCAUAGUGAUCGUUUCAAAGAGCUCAAGGCUUUUGAUGAUGGCAAAGCUGGUGUGAAAGGCCUUGUUGAUGCAGGGAUUACUAAUCUUCCCAGAAUCUUCGUUCGGCCUCCUGAAGAGCUCAUCGAGGAGAAGAAUAUUGGCCAUCUCCAGGUACAAGUUCCAGUCAUAGAUCUCAGUGGCAUAUAAGAUGGAGAUAAAAGCAAUAGUAUAAUUGAUGAAAUAAGACAAGCAUCGGAGGAAUGGGGAUUUUUCCAAGUAAUCAAUCAUGGGAUUCCACAAAGCCUGUUGGAUGAAAUGAUUGAUGGAGUGCACAGGUUUCACGAGCAAGAUGCUGAGGUGAAAAAGCAAUACUAUUCUCGUGAUCUGCUGAGAAUGGUGAGAUAUUUUAGCAAAUCUCCACCUUGACUUGAAUCUUCUCAGAAACAGAUAUAACAGACGUACUGAUGAAGUGUCAGACGUACUCAAAGUCUUCUUUUACCAUCAGAAUUGUCUCUAAGUACCAUCAGAAUGCCCAUAAGGGCUAUCAGAAACUUAGGACAUUUAGCAAAUCCAAACAAUGUUUGAACUUGCUAUGAGGAACCGACUUGGUGAACAUAUCAGCAGGAUUGUCAGCAGUGCCAAUUUUCUUCACCUUGAUCCUUGUCUCAGAUCUCAAGAAGUGAUAUCGGACAUAAAUAUGUUUAGUGCUCUCAUGAUGAACUUGAUUCUUGACUAGACAUAUUGCACUGAGACUAUCACAAUAUAUAUUAGCCUGAUCCUGAUGUAGGCCAAGAUCUCCAACUAGCCCAUUUAACCAAAUUUUCUCUUUAACAGCCUCCGUCAGUACCAUAUACUCUACCUCAGUAGUGGACAGAGUCACUGUAAGUUGUAGAGUUACUUUCCAACUAACUACAGAUUGCCCAAGAGUAAAAACAUAACCAGUCAUCGACCUCCUACUAUCAACAUCUCCAGCAUAAUCAGAAUCUGAAUAGCCUGUAACCAAACACUCUGUAUCACCUCUAUAGAUGAGACCAACAUCAGAUGUACUCCUCAAGUACCGAAAAAUUCGCUUUAUGGCCAGCCAGUGCUCCUUCCCAGGAUUAGCCAUAAAUCUGCUAACAACACUGACUACAUGUGCCAGAUCAGAUCUAGUACAGACCAUGACAUACAUCAAACUACCCACUGCACUAGAAUAGGGAACUUUAGCCAUAUACUCUAUCUUGGCUUCUGACUGUGGUGUGAGUAUAACUGAUAGUUGAGCAUUCGGUGCACUCGAAGUAUUCAAGGGUUUUUCUGUAGACAUGCCAAAUCUGGAUAGUACCUUCUCAAUAUAACUCUUCUGUGAUAAGAAAAGUUUCUUCUGACUUCUAUCCCUGAAAAUCUCCAUUCCCAGAAUUUUUUGUGCUGCACUUAAGCCUUUCAUCUCAAACUCUGCACUGAGAAGACUUUUCAACUUUUGUAUAUCAGCUUUGUUCCUUGCAGCUAUGAGCAUAUCAUCUAUAUACAAAAUCAAGUAGAUCAUCGAACCAUUUUUAAGUUUGUUGUGAUAUACACAACAAUCAUACUGACUUCUACUGUAGCCGAGCUCAAUCAUGUAGCCGUCAAAUCUUUUGUACCACUGCCUUGGGGACUGCUUUAAUCCAUACAAGGAUUUCUUCAACUUGCAUACAUAAUCUUCUUUUCCCGGAAUAUGAAAUCCAUAUGGUUGAGUCAUAUAAAUCUCGUAAUCUAACUCUCCAUGUAGGAAAACUGUCUUCACGUCUAGCUGCUCAAGUUCUAAGUCCUGAUGUGCAACCAUUGCUAGUAGCACCCUGAUAGAAGUGUGUCUGACCACUGGUGAGAAAAUCUCAUUGUAGUCUACUCCUUCUCUUUAAGUGAACUCUCUUGCAACAACACGUGCUUAAUACUUGAUGCCCUCAGCUGGAGAAAUUCCUUCAUUCCUUUUAAAGACCCAUUUGCAAGUCACAACCUUUCUCUGCUGGCUGUUUGACUAAUUCCCAAGUGUCGUUCUUGUGUAACGACUUCAUUUCAUCACCCAUUGCAGCAAGCCAUUGAACUGACUCACUGCCUGAAAUAGUUUCUUUAUAGGUAGAGGGUUCAGGAGAAUCCACCUCCUCAACAACCUGAAAUGCAUAACCUACAAAAUCCCGAUACCUGCUGGGAGCUCGUACUCCCAUUCUCCUCGCACGAUCAUAAGCAAUACCGUGCUGCUGAGUUUCUGACACAGUAUGGGAUAUAGGUGCCAAUCUUUCUGCUGAUGUUAGUUCUGGAAACUCUACUUCUGCAGGAGGUUCAGUUUCAAAGGAUAGCUGUUGAUGAUCACCAAAUUGCUACUGUGAUUCAAAAUCAUUUUGAAUGAUUUGUAGCUCCACCUGUUUAUCAACACCUGCACUUUCUUCAACAACAGUCUUCACAGGGAGUUAAGUAUAUAGUUUUCAUAAAAAAUUACACUUCUGCUAAGUAUAACUUUCUAUUUUGAGGGUGACCAGAUUCUAUACCCUUUAACUCCGUCUCCAUAUCCCAGAGACACUCCUUUUUUAGCCCUUGGUUCUAGUUUGCCCUCACUGACAUGAUAAUAUGCAGUACAACCAAAAGCCUUCAAAUUUGAGUAAGUAGGGGACAUACCAGACCACACUUUAUAAGGUAUCUUGCAGUCUAUACCUGUAUGAGGUGCACGAAUGAUCAAGAAGCAGGUUGUGCUCACUGCUUCCGCCCAGAACCUCCUUGGCAACUCAGCAUUGAAGAGCAUACACCGUGCUCUCUCUAAAAGUGCCUGAUUCAUGCAUUCUGCUACACCGUUUUGUUGUGAUGUGUGUCGAACUGUGUGAUGCCGAGCAAUUCCUUCAUCUUUGCAGAACUCAUCAAACUCCUUUGAACAGAAUUCCAGACCAUUAUUAGUUCUCAGCCUUUUGAUCUUCUUUCCAGUUUGAUUCUCCACUAAGACCUUUCACUGUUUGAAGUUCUUGAAAGCUUCACCUUUUUGCUUCAUAACGAUUACCCAAGUCAUUCUUGAAUAAUCAUCAAUCAUGGAUAAAAAAUACCGACAGCCUCCCAAAGACUCAACUCGUGAUGGGCCCCAACAGUCAGAAUGGAUGUAAUCAAGUAUGCCUUUUGUCCUGUGAAUUGCCUUUCCAAACUUUCUGCAAUGUAGUUUACCGAAAGUACAAUGUUCACAGAAUCCAAAACCGAUGACCUUGUGGCCUUCUAGAAGAUUACGUUUAGACAGAAUCUGCAUCCCCCUUUCGCUCAUAUGACCAAGCCUAAUGUGCCACAACUUGGUCAUAUCAGACCUGCGAUCUUCAGAAGAUGCAACAGCAGCAGCGGCAGAACCUGUUAGCGUAGAACCCUGUAAAAUGUACGAGGUGUCAUGCUUAACUCCUUUGAAAACCACUAAUGAACCUUUACCGAUGCACAACUCUCCACUUCCUUCGCUGAACCUAAAACCCUUACUGUCAAGAGUACUAAGUGAUAUAAGAUUCUUCGUCAUUUUGGGGACGUGCUUGACUUCGUUCAGUGUGGCAAUUUUUCCAAUAUGUGUCCUGAUCUUAAUCGAACCGAUCCCAACAGCCUUGCAAACAGUGCUAUUAGCCAUCACGACAUUCCCGCCAUCUAUCUGCUCAUAUGUUGUAAACCAUUCCCUAUUUGGACAUAUGUGAUAGGACGCCCCAGAAUCAAGAAUCCACACAUCAGAGUGAUGUGUUGGUUCAUCUGCAAUUAGGGCAAGGUUUUCUUCUGAAUUUUUCGCUUCCUUUUCUGCAACUGAAGCUAAAGCAUGUUAUUUUUCCUGCUGCUUCUUCUUCUUGGGACAAUCAGAUUUCCAAUGACCCUUUUCCUUGCAGUAGUUACAGACAUCAUCCGGCUUGGGACCUUGAGAAAACUGCUUCUUGUUUCCGGACUGCUGACAACUAGCCCAACAGCCUGAUUAUCUGUAACAUUACCAGCCGCUUUAUGGAUCAACUCUCUACUAUGCAGUGUUGAUCUUAUUUCUUCUAAAAUCACUGUAUCUUUACCGCCAAUAAAGGACUGAACAAAAUUCUCAUACGAUAACGGUAGAGACACUAACAGAAUCAACGCGGCAUCCUCAUCCUCAAUUUUAACAUUAAUAUUAUGCAACUCAAGCAGAAUCGUAUUUAAUUGAUCUAAAUGUUCUCGAAGAGGAGUACCUUCCUGCAUACGCAGACCAAACAGACGUUGCUUUAAGAGCAACUUGUUGGUCAAAGACUUUGUCAUAUAGAGAUUUUCAAGUUUAACCCAUAAACCCGCAGCAGUUUCUUCACCGGCGACCUCAGUGAUGACAUCAUCUGCCAGGCACAGCAUGAUUGUCGAGUGAGCCUUUUCCUCCAGACUCAUCGACUCUUCAUCAACGGAAUCCGAUUUCUUCUUCAUCAGCGGACUCCACAGACCCUGUUGCUUUAACAGAGCCCGCAUCUUGAUCUACCACAGACUGAAACUAUUUCUCCCGGUGAACUUGUCGAUCUUGAUGUUCAAAAAAGACAUGUUGUUGCGUGAUCCGAGCCCUAGGACAAACCUAGAGCUCUGAUACCAGUUUGUUAAAAUCGAUGCAGCGGAACGGAAAGAACAAACAAGAACAAGGGGAAAUUAGAUUUUUUAUUAGGGUUCGGAAUGUAUCAGAUGUUAUUUGUACAGAAUGGAUAUAAGGUAUAUAUAUACAACCAAAAAACCAAAAGCGAGACCCCCAACGGGGGUCGAAGAUCUGAUUUAAGGCAUUUCAACAUAUCUGAUACAACUAUUCUCAAAUGAACUGCCUUCGUUAACCUAUUUACAAUCACACAAAUGGUGUUACUGCCUCGCCUAGGCCUGGGUAGCCCAAAAUUGACUCUUGCAUAUAUAUUCAACCAUCUUGGACCAUGUGACCUGCAUCAAAGAAAAGUAGUGUGAGGGUUAACAGUAAUUUAUCCUUAAAUUUACGUAAAAUACCUUCAAGUGAACCAGAUGGAUCUCUUAAUACAACGAACUAGUUCGUAUUUGAGUUUGUCAAAUCUUGAUCAGGAGUCAGGAAAAGAAUUAGUGCUUGGCUCUUAUUCAAAAUUUGGUACCUAACCAGCAGAUAUUUCUUCACUGAUGAACAAGAGUGGGAUUUUUUGUUUUCACUUGAUUAAUCUUAGUGCAUAUGUGGAACUAGGCAAGGCCCGUUUGGCACUAAAAUAAGCAUAUUCACAUGAGUCUGGAGGCCCUUCAUGCCCCUCUUCUCCUUUUCUAAGUAGAUCUAUUGAUUUUUUUCAUCUUGAAUACAUUACAUAAGUGGUUAGAACCUUUUAGCAUGGACAUACAUGUAAAUUGUGCCAGGUGAGUAUGCGACAAUGAAAAUUACAAUGAGUCCAUUAUAAGGAUAGCAUUAUUUGGAGGGGGAAAAAAAUCUACUUUAGCAUUUUUUUUUUUUUAAGAACAUGAGAGAUCACAAUGAAAUCUGGAUACCUGAGUGGACCCAGAACAAAAAUCAUACACAAAUAUUUUAUGUUAUGCAGUGCUUGCAAAAAAAAAUUGGGAUAAAUUAUCUUUUAUCCUUUUGUAGUUUGGUACUUUGCCACAUAAUUUCUCUUUCGUAUAGAGUAUUGGCAAAUUAAUCCGCUAUGAACUAUGUACACAAUUAGAGCACAUACAGUGAAAUAUCCAUGAGCAAAGUCCGUUUUCAUAUGUUUUCUACUAAAUUCAAAGCAUAAAGCAGUGCGCAUUUUUAAGUUACAGGGAGUUUAUCUUCAAGAGCACUUAACCAUAGGGGGUGUAUGAGGUAUUUGCCUGUAAAAAAAUAUCCAUGUGAUGUGUGAAAUGAGUUUAUAUUAUGAAAAUUUUUAAAUGACAAUGAAUUGGAUAGUAGGAGCCAUAGCCCUAUUGUGUUCAAGUAUAGUGAAUUCCAACAGUUUGUCCAACCUUUAACUCAUGUUUAUGUUAUGUUCAUGUGAUCCUUUGAUCGCCUUCUUAGACGGGGUUAAUUUCUAAAUUGAGUACUUAAAAGAUGGCUAUUACUUGAACUUGUUUAUAAGUUAUAUUCUUAUGAUAUGAAACGAUGUUAUGGACAUCUUACAUGAUUUACCAAUGCUGUGUUUGGAUUGAUCAUUUUUUCAAAAACAAGUUUUUCAAAUACAAUACACAAUAAUUCAAAAAACAUAUCAUCCAUCCAAUAUAUUAAAUAUUUCAAAAAAAUUUUAUAGUAAAAAUUUUUCGUACACACUACUACAGUAAACUUUUUUAAAAACACCCCUGAAAACAGUUAAUCCAAACGGAGCGCAAGUUUUUCUGUGAAUAUGUUCAUAUUAUGUUAUAUGUUUUAUGCCACUCAAUUUUCAAUGAAAUAUGUAUACGUAUUUAUGAAACAAUGUCAAUAUUUUCAAACUGAGAUAUUCAUGCAAUCUUGUGCGAUCAAGUAUAUAACUACAUGAUCCUGCACGAGAGGUGUGUUGCUUACUAAGCAUACAUUGCUCAAUCCAUGUGUCCUUCAAGAAAGGAAAAUCGUUUACGCCUUAGAAAACUAAGAGUAAAAUAAAUAGACUGAUGAUCAAUUUCUAGAGAUUAAAGAAUAAGGUGUUUGACUGGUGCACAAAUAGAUUGGUAAUAAAGCUCUAAGGAUUAUAGAAUAAGGUGUUUAACAUGUAUAUUAAAUUUUCAACCACUUUUUUAACUCACAUACAUCAUAUAAUCUAAAAAGUAUUACAGUAAAUUUAUUUUUUUUUACAAAAUUAUCUCAAAUAAUCUAUUAUCUAAACACGCUAAUGGUUUCACAGAUACAAUGUAUGACGUUACAGAUCCGACCUAUGGACUUGGUUUCUAUGGUUUCCGAUAGAGGUGGCAAUAUGGAUAAAUUGUUCAUAAUUGGUUUUGAUUUAAUGGAUGGUGAAUGAAAUUUAUCCAAUCCAUUUAGAUCCGUUUAAUAAAUGGAUCUAAAUGGAUUAAAUAAAAACUAAUUAUCCAUUUAUAAUUCAUUUAAAUAUUUUGGUUACUUUUUUUUGUAUUGCCAUCACAGACUAAGACAAGCAUCCUACAAUAUCUGCAUCGGCAUCGUGAAGAGUAGUCAUCAUAUGAAGAGCCACAAAGGAAGCAGCUGCCUAAAACAUUCGAAUCUAAGCUCCCAACAGUGGUAUUACACAGCUUACAAUUUUGGGGUUCAAUAGGAAAGAAGUUCGGAAGAAACGAAAAGGAAAAAGAAAAAAAAAAUCCAUCACUUCAAAAACCAUUCACCUUUAAUGUUUGUCCGAAAGUUACUGUUUGGUGAAUGUGUAGCUACAUUUGCCUGAAUGCCGGCCAUGGAUUUUGAAGAUGAGUAUUUAUAGAAAUGUCACAUGCAUAUUAGGUGUUUGUGAGAAUGAUUGUUUGAAAGAUGAGUAUUUGUAGUUGGGUUCUUUGCCUGGGAUUGAGUUGAAAAACAUGCAACAAGAAAUAUAUGGUUUUUAGUCAUUUCCUUUCUGUUUCUUUUAUUUGAUUUUUAAGUAAAUGGAUAUAUAUGGAUUUUGUAGAUAAUCCAUAUAAAUCUAUUUAAUUUAAUGAUUUUAUUUUGAUCAACCAUUUAAAACUAAUACUAUAAAUGAAUAAUUCAAAUCCAUUUAAUUAUGGAUUAUAUGGAUGGAUAAAUAGAUCUCAAUCCAUAUUAAUUACCACCUCUAGACUUUCCGGAUUUGAGGCGUGACAGGAUUUGUCCAUAUGCUUACAGAUCUAAAAGAUUAGCUCAAUCGAUACACUGCCAGAAUCCCUCCAUUGCAGGCUUAAGUUAUGUAUACGUGCACAUGGGCCUGCAUUAAUGGUCAACUGAAUUCCAACUCAAUACAUAUAAUAUUUUAGAGCGCAAAUGCACAAUUUUUUUUUGUUUUCCUUUCAGGUAACAAGUGUACAAUUCUAUAUAAUUGUCAACUGAAUUUGAUACAAACUUACCGUUUAAUCAUUAAUGUAAAUGCCAACGUAAUCUACAAGCCUACAAUUUAAAAUUAGUGCACAUCAAAAUCACAGCCAGCGAAUAUCACAUUGAUAUCAUUGAAACAAUUACUGUAGAAAAAUCGCCCUUCUUGGGGAAUUUCCUAAUAAUUAUUGUACUUUCUUCUUCUCAAUUUGGUAAAUUUGAUUUUUUUUCAGGCAGUUUAAAAAAAUUAAUUAACCUUGUUGGAAAAUAAAUCUAACUUACUAUAUUUCUAAAAUAUCCUUGCAUUAAAUAAAGUACGACUACUUAGCCUUCUUUUUUUAACGGACCAAAUUGAUAUAUAUAUAUAUAUAUAUAUAUAUAUAUAUAUAUAUAUAUAUUUUGUCGGACCAAUAUGAGAGUUUUUCAAUUUGAGGAACCAAAUUAAGAUGGUUUGCUACUUUGGAGAACCACAUCGAAAUUUCAGAGUUGCUUAGUAGAAGUUCUUUUCUUAACAAUGAUUUCUGACAUACUUAAUCAUGGCCAUUAAUUAAUCCUUCCCUAAUGCCACCAGAGCAGCCGGCCAUACUUCAUCCAUAAAAAGCCAUAUUCCUAAAGCACCAUGCACUUGCUAAAACAGUCAACUUUGCUCCGUCCUACUCUUUCCAUUUCCACUGUGUCAGUGUUUUUUGUCUGAAAAUGGAAGCGGCAGCAGCAGCAGCACCAGCAGAAGUGAAAGUGCCAAGAAUCAGGCUGGGCUCACAAGGUUGUGAAGUUUCAGCUCAAGGGCUGGGCUGCAUGGGCGUGUCAGCCUUCUACGGCCCGCCCAAGCCCGAGCCCGACAUGAUCAAGCUCAUCCACCAUGCUAUUAGCAGAGGUAUCACCCAUCUGGACACCGCCGAUGUCUAUGGACCUCACACUAACGAAAUACUCAUUGGUAAGGUACCAUAUUUGCCUUUUUAAAUUACUCUUGCUUAAGAGAAGUAGAUUUGUGACUUUAUAUUUAAGGUAAAUCACACUUAAGCCCAUGAAUAUAUAUGCUUCUCUCACUUAGCCCCCUCAAGUUUAUUUGUAUGUCCUACAUAAUUAAUGGCAUGAAAUCAUGGUUUUAGGCUUUGAAGGAAGGAAUGAGAGCAAAAGUGGAGCUAGCAACGAAAUUUGCAGUUUCUUACGAGGAUGGGAAAUUUGAUGUACGUGGUGAUCCAGCCUAUGUGAGGGCUUGUUGUGAAGCCAGCUUGAAGCGGCUUGAUGUGGACUGCAUUGAUCUCUAUUAUCAACAUCGCAUCGAUACACGCGUGCCCAUUGAAGUCACGGUUUGCUCCAUUUCUCUUUGUUCUUAUGUUCCACCACAUUCUUGAUAAAAUGAAAAGUUGAUCAACUUCAAAUUAAGGAGAAUAGUUCAUUUUGAUGUUCUUAACAAUUUCUUCACCAUUAUGGGCUACUGUACAUACUAAUCUUCAUUUCAGUAAAGCUGGUUUAGCACCAGGCAUCUCAAAAAGUAAAAUGAACCAACUUAAUUAUUUGUCUUAUAUAUACGUGCACAGGUAUUUUAGCUUUGCCAGCCCUGUUGAGGGAGGUACAGGUGGAUAUGAUGCCAUACAUUGUACAUAUUUCCUUUAGAACUAGAAGACCUGUGCAUUCCUUUCAUUUCAGUUGAGUAGUAUUAUUUAGAAACAGUCAACAAUGUCACUAUUGAUGCUACAGAAGCAUUGUGUUUGCAUGGUCCAAUAGAGCCAAGUGAACCAGUGGGGUUAAUAACAAUAUCAUCUUGAGAAGUACUAUUGGCUGCGUAUUACACUAUUACCAAGUGUUGAUUUCAGUCGGAUGUAUACUUUGUCAAAGUUGUUCGCUGCACUGAAUUAGUGUUACUUUUACUUUAUGCUUGUAUAAUUUCAAUUGUCUGCCUUAGUAUGGAAAAGAUAAACCAGCUUAGCAUUUUCUUGUUUGUUGUAUUCUCAAUUUUUCUAGAUAGGAGAACUUAAGAAACUGGUUGAAGAGGGUAAAAUAAAGUACAUAGGUCUAUCCGAGGCCUCAGCUUCAACAAUUAGAAGAGCACAUGCUGUUCAUCCAAUAACAGCUAUACAGUUGGAGUGGUCAUUGUGGACCAGAGACGUCGAGGAAGAGAUCAUUCCCACUUGCAGGUAGUGCAUUUAUUCUGCCUCAUUUUCUACAUGGUCUGGAAGAAAUAUGAAGCUCUAAGUUCAUUUUGUUGUAAUCUUUUAGAGAGCUUGGCAUAGGGAUUGUUGCAUACAGUCCACUCGGACAAGGAUUCUUCUCUUCAGGUCCAAAGCUGAUCGAGAAUUUGACUGAAGGUGACUUCCGAAAGGUUUGUGCAUAUCCAAAGAGAAUAGAAGUUUUUGGUGUAGUAUGUGUACAAUUGGUAGAUACGAGUUUCUUAGUCAUCAACUUUUUCCACAUUGAGCUGCAGUUUUUAUCAAUAUCCCAUUCUUUUCUAUCUGUUACAUGUUGCUGCACUUUUUGAUACCCAAGCCUGAGCUUUUUCUAAAAUGAUCAAAUUUAAUGAAUUUUUGGUCAACUGCGACGCAACAAGGUUUCCUAUCUGACAGGAUAGGAAUUGUGUUCUUUUUAUAUAGUUUGAAUUAAAAAAAAAAAAAAAAAAAAAAGAUGGCACUACCAUUGUCAAACUUUUAGAUAUUUUCUUAAAAGAAGGUUUUCCUUGCAUGCUGGAAAAUUAUAAAUGGACAGAGCAAUGGGUAAUGUUCUAUUUUGCAGUGCGCGAAAGUCCUGGACAUAAAAACAGGAAGAAACUAUGGCAUCUUUAAGGAAACGGUUAUUUACAAUAUUGAGCUGUUGUUUCCUUAGUCAUUAGUUUACUUCCUAGUAGUAGUGCCACCUCCAUGGUUCAAUAUAUAGUUGAUUUCUAGUUUGACCUUCGCCUUAUAUUUGUCUUAUAGUUGAUGUUUCCCACCUGGAGUACUCUUAACACCUUACUACAUUGUUCAUUUCUCUGCACUUGUACACUUCGAACAAUAUUUUCAAUUAUUCUGAUAUAAUUUAAGGAUUAAUCUUUACUACACUAGCAAUGUAUGCACCAUUAGUGUUGGAUAAACGAUAACUAUGCAAAAUUUAAAAUUGUAAUUCAACUUUAGCAUAUAUAUCAUGAAUAGUGUAUAUAAAAUUUACUCUAAUUUUAAUUGUCUGUGUUGGCUACUCCUUUUGUGUGCUUUAACCCCUCCAGAUUCUGGCUUUACAGUUGCUUAACAUUGAAAUUCACACAAUGCAGUAUUCGCCAAGGUUUCAAGCAGAUAAUUUGGAGCACAACAAGAAGUUGUAUGAGCGUGUCAAUGCCAUUGCUUCAAGGAAGGGUUGUACUCCAUCACAGCUAGCAUUGGCCUGGGUCCAUCACCAAGGAAAUGAUGUUUGCCCCAUACCCGGCACUACCAAGAUUCAGAACCUCAAUCAGAAUAUAGGAGCUUUAUCCGUAAAACUGUCCGCAGAGGAUAAGGCGGAACUCGAAUCUAUUGCUUCGGCUGGAGUCAAGGGUGAGAGACACGGGCCUCAA
rnacentral:lncRNA from 1 species